rnacentral:rRNA from 1 species
GACGAACGUUGGCGGCGUGCUUAACACAUGCAAGUCGAACGGAAAGGCCCUGCUUUUGUGGGGUGCUCGAGUGGCGAACGGGUGAGUAACACGUGAGUAACCUGCCCUUGACUUUGGGAUAACUUCAGGAAACUGGGGCUAAUACCGGAUAGGAGCUCCUGCUGCAUGGUGGGGGUUGGAAAGUUUCGGCGGUUGGGGAUGGACUCGCGGCUUAUCAGCUUGUUGGUGGGGUAGUGGCUUACCAAGGCUUUGACGGGUAGCCGGCCUGAGAGGGUGACCGGCCACAUUGGGACUGGGAUACGGCCCAGACUCCUACGGGAGGCAGCAGUGGGGAAUAUUGCACAAUGGGCGGAAGCCUGAUGCAGCAACGCCGCGUGCGGGAUGACGGCCUUCGGGUUGUAAACCGCUUUCGCCUGUGACGAAGCGUGAGUGACGGUAAUGGGUAAAGAAGCACCGGCUAACUACGU